rfam:Actinobacteria bacterium CG2_30_50_142 cg2_3.0_scaffold_2150_c, whole genome shotgun sequence.
UCCAUCGCGAGGUGGAAUCUGAAGGAAGCCUGUAGGCAAAGUCCCGACCUGAUGAACAAGAACCGCAUAUGAGGCUGAAUUGGGACGGACGAGUUUGCACGACAAAACGAAGUCCAACACUGCACGAACCCCAUACAGUAGAUGCGGCAGGUACAUGGGAUGAAAGCUAUCGUU